rnacentral:rRNA from 1 species
CGCGAAUGGCUCAUUACAACAGCUAUAAUUUACUUGAAUUUGACAACCCUACUUGGAUACCGGUGGUAAUUCUAGCGCUAAUACAUGCACCAAAGCUCCGACCGCGAGGGAAGAGCGCAUUUAUUAGAACAAAACCACACGGCUUCGGCCGUCCAAUGUUGACUCAGAAUAACUAAGCUGAUCGCAUGGUCUUGCACCGGCGACGUUUCUUUCAAGUAUCUGCCUUAUCAACUUUCGAUGGUAGUGUAUCUGACUACCAUGGUGAUGACGGGUAACGGAGGAUAAGGGUUCGACUCCGGAGAAGGGGCCUGAGAAAUGGCCGCUACGUCUAAGGAUGGCAGCAGGCGCGCAAAUUACCCACUCUCAGUACGAGGAGGUAGUGACGAGAAAUAACAAGACCGUUCUCUUUCGAGGCCGGUCAUCGGAAUGGGUACAAUUUAAACCCUUUAACGAGUAUCUAUGAGAGGGCAAGUCUGGUGCCAGCAGCCGCGGUAAUUCCAGCU